UCUCGAUUAAUUGUGGAAUAGAUAAGUCUUGUCUCGCUCACUUUCGCUCUCAUGGAGAGGGAGACGCCGGAGCUCGCGGCGCCGGCGACCUUCCUCCGCGAGGAGGAGGGGGCGUCCCCGGAGUCAGUGCGCGCGCGGUUCGAGCGCAUGAUCCGGCGCGUGCAGGCGGAGGUCUGCGCGGAGCUCGAGGCGGUCGAGGGAGGCGCAAGGGACGGCGGCGGCGGUGGUGCGCUGUUCCGGGAGGACGCCUGGACGCGCCCCGGCGGCGGCGGCGGAAUCAGCCGCGUGCUCCAGGGCGGCCGCGUGUUCGAGAAGGCCGCGGUGAACGUCUCCGUGGUCUACGGGGUCAUGCCUCCUGAGGCGUACCGCGCGGCGAGGCCUGAAGCCGCCGCGGCGGCGGCGGCUGGAGGGGAGAAGGCCGGGCCGGUGGCCUUCUUCGCGGCCGGCAUCAGUUCGGUCAUUCAUCCAGUGAACCCAUUUGCUCCAACAAUGCAUUUCAACUACCGGUAUUUCGAAACAGAGGCACCUAAAGAUAUCAUGGAGGAUGAUGCACCGUUCUCUGCAGAUGCACCUGGUGCACCUAGGCAGUGGUGGUUUGGAGGUGGUACUGACCUGACGCCUUCAUAUAUCAUUGAAGAGGAUAUCAAACACUUCCAUUCCGUUCAGAAACAAACGUGUGAUAAAUUUGAUCCUGGCUUUUAUCCUAGAUUCAAAAAAUGGUGUGAUGAUUACUUUUAUAUCAAGUUAUCAUGCUUGUCUGGUCACCAGAACAAGUCAUGGAGAUGGUUAUUUGCGUUUGACCGCAGCAUCGUGGUGAACGGCGUGGGGUGGGUGGAAUAUUUUUUGAUGAUCUUAGUGACUAUGAUCAGGAAACUCUCCUUCAAUUUGCUACAGAAUGUGCAGAUUCAGUUCUACCUGCAUACAUACCCAUUAUAGAACGCCGCAAAGACAUUCCAUUUACUGAGGAGCACAAGGCAUGGCAGCAGCUACGGAGAGGACGCUAUGUGGAAUUUAACCUCGUUUAUGAUCGGGGAACCACAUUUGGCCUCAAGACUGGAGGACGGAUUGAGAGUAUCCUUGUUUCUCUUCCUCUUACCGCACGGUGGGAGUAUGAUCAUAAACCAGAAGUAGGGAGUGAAGAAUGGAAACUUCUUGACACAUGCAUAAAUCCAAGGGAGUGGAUCUGACUUGUUUAGAAGUUCUUGCUCUUUCAGUACCUUGCUAUUAAAAUGUCACCUUGAUCUUUGUAUGGUUCAUGGGCACAUUGUUUUCAUGUACGGUCGAAUGCCAUUUUCUUUUCCCUUUUUGUCUUGUGCAAUGUAACUGAUCCGGUUAUAUCUCUCUAACACAUGGCACAAAACUCUCCUGUGUUUUUCGAGGAAAAAAAUGAAUGAUCAGCCUAAUUUGUCAAAA